rnacentral:rRNA from 1 species
UUCUUUAAGAUUUUAAAUUAAAGUAUAACCUGCUCAAUGAUUAAUUUAAAUAGCCGCAGUAUACUGUGCUAAGGUAGCAUAAUCAUUAGCUUCUUAAUUAGAAGAUAGUAUGAAGGGUUAAACGAAAUAUUAACUGUCUCUAAAAUUUUAAAUAAAAUUUAACUUAAGGUAAAAAUUCCUUUAUCAUAAAGAAGGACGACAAGACCCUGAUAAACUUACAAAAAUUUUGCUGGGGUGGCAAUUUAAAAAAACCUUAAUAUAUAAUAAAAUAUCUAAUAAUAUUAAUUUCAAGUUACUACAGGGAUAACAGCGCAAUUUUUUUUUAAAGAUCUAAUCUAAAAAGAAUAAUACGACCUCGAUGUUGAAUUAAUUUUCUAUUUUAAGCAUAAAUAUAAUAAGAAGGUCUGUUCGACCUUUAAAUAAUU